rnacentral:rRNA from 1 species
GACGAACGCUGGCGGCGUGCCUAAUACAUGCAAGUUGAGCGCUGAAGGUUGGUACUUGUACCAACUGGAUGAGCAGCGAACGGGUGAGUAACGCGUGGGGAAUCUGCCUUUGAGCGGGGGACAACAUUUGGAAACGAAUGCUAAUACCGCAUAAAAACUUUAAACACAAGUUUUAAGUUUGAAAGAUGCAAUUGCAUCACUCAAAGAUGAUCCCGCGUUGUAUUAGCUAGUUGGUGAGGUAAAGGCUCACCAAGGCGAUGAUACAUAGCCGACCUGAGAGGGUGAGCGGCCACAUUGGGAGUGAGACACGGCCCAAACUCCUAGGGGAGGCAGCAGUAGGGAAUCUUCGGCAAUGGACGGAAGUCUGACCGCGCAACGCCGCGUGAGUGAAGAAGGUUUUCGGAUCGUAAAACCCUGUUGGUAGAGAAGAACGUUGGUGAGAGUGGAAAGCUCAUCAAGUGACGGUAACUACCCAGAAAGGGACGGCUAACUACGUG